rnacentral:rRNA from 1 species
AUUGAACGCUGGCGGCAGGCCUAACACAUGCAGGUCGAGCGGAUGAAGGGAGCUUGCUCCUGGAUUCAGCGGCGGACGGGUGAGUAAUGCCUAGGAAUCUGCCUGGUAGUGGGGGAUAACGUCCGGAAACGGGCGCUAACACCGCAUACGUCCUGAGGGAGAAAGUGGGGGAUCUUCGGACCUCACGCUAUCAGAUGAGCCUAGGUCGGAUUAGCUAGUUGGUGGGGUAAAGGCCUACCAAGGCGACGAUCCGUAACUGGUCUGAGAGGAUGAUCAGUCACACUGGAACUGAGACACGGUCCAGACUCCUACGGGAGGCAGCAGUGGGGAAUAUUGGACAAUGGGUGAAAGCCUGAUCCAGCCAUGCCGCGUGUGUGAAGAAGGUCUUCGGAUUGUAAAGCACUUUAAGUUGGGAGGAAGGGCAGUAAGUUAAUACCUUGCUGUUUUGACGUUACCAACAGAAUAAGCACCGGCUAACUUCGUG